UCUCUCUCUCUCUCUCUCUCUCUCCAUCUCUCCAUCUCUCCAUCUCUCCUUCCUCCCUCUCUCCCUCUCUCUCUCUCCCCUUCCUGGUUCCAUGUCCUAACCUGCUUUUCUUCUACCAUGAUGUUCUGCCUCACCUCAGGCCCUGAGGAAUAGAGUCAGCCAUGUCCUGAGACUUCUGAAACCCUGAGUUCCAAAUAAAAAUUUCCUCCUCUAUAAUUGUUUUCUGUCAUGUCUUGAUCACUGUGGCGAAAACACUGAUUAAAACAAUUGGUUACUACUUGAAAACAUGAGAUUCAUACUAGGGAAUAAGUGUAUAUGGAAAAGUUGCCCAAGGCCAGAGACUGAGGCACUCCUAUAUUUGGAGAUGAGACAUUCAAAUCUACCAAAGAGGACUGAGGAGUGAUUAGCAAGGUAAGAGGUGGGAGGAUAGAGCAGGUCCUGGAAACCAAGCAAAGAUAGUGUGUCCACAAAAGUUGCUGAGAGAGACAGUACGUCAAGGUCUGAGAAGAGAUCAAUGAGUUUAGCAAUGAGAUGUCACUGAUUGGAGCGGUUUCAAAAAACAGAAGGGAGGCACUAAAUGGGACCUAGCUUUCCUUCAAAAAUUGUAUUUCUCCUUAAAAAGUUCUUCAGUAUCAACACUGAAGUUCCUGUUCUAUGUACAGAACAGAGUCUUGUUUCUGUGUUCUCUUAUGUUUGCCUAGAUGUGGAGUCUUAUAAAUGCUCCAUUAAAUGUCCUGGUUAAAACUUUCUUCCCCACAAUCCAUACCAAGCAUCCUGAACCUUCCAACUCUGCCCUCAAUCUAGUGUCCCCAGGAGCCCAUCCAGACCCAAACUGAAUACUGAGUUCAUAGUUAUCUCCUAAUUACAGGGAAUAUAAGCCUUGAGGAUACCUAUGAGUCCUCUCUUGCCUUGGUCACCUAGUUCUCCUCUCCCAGUUUUUCUUCUUUCCUGUCAUCUUCUCUAUCUAAUCAAGAUAUCAGUGAGAUAUCUCUGUGGUACAGUGACUUUCUCCCUAAACCAGCAAGAAUGCCUCAGCCUCCCAGAUGGAUCUGGCCUAGGUUGAUCCAUGGAAGAGAAGAUGGAUCAAUCUACAUCUUCCUCCCUAGGAAACUCCGCAGCUUACUGACUGCUGAAUGGUCUAAGAAAAUGUGAGCUGAAUGGAUAAAAAGUGGAAGAAGACUAAGAAAAAGGUAGCUUUGACACCAAAAGCAGAAAGCUCUCAGAUCCAAGCAAACUGCAGAAGGAGAUGCUGGAAGCUGAGGUGGCAACUUCUGAGUCAAGUCCCAUAGGAACAGAUACUGGAUAGGACUCACAAGGAAGGGCAACAUCAAGAAAUCUUUGUGGAGGGGAGGCAAGAGAAGAGAGGGUGCAGCCCCAGAGAACAGCUGGCAUCUCCACAAAAGAGAAGUUAGCAGCCACAUCAUAAGGAUCCCGAAGGAGCCAUAUGUAGAGGUCUACACAGCAAGAAACAACCAGCAAGGAACAGGACCUCCUCCUAACAACAUGUGAGUAAGCCUUCUGAAAGAGGAUAUUUUCACCCCAGUCAAGUCUUCAAAUGAUUGCAGCCCUAGCUAAAAUCUUGACCAUGACCUCUUGAGAGACCCUGAACUAUAAUCACCUAGCUAAACUAUUCCCAAAUCCUAAGCCACAGAGAGCACAAAAUAAAAUUGUUUCAAGCCACUAUGUUUUGAAAUAAUUCUUACCAGCAACAUAUAACUAACUGAUGGAUCAC